rnacentral:misc_RNA from 1 species
GUAGGUGAACCUGCGGAAGGAUCAUUACAAAUCUCGAGUUGGUUCCUCCCGCUAGGGGGGGGCUGGCACAUUAGCACAAGGCCGCGAGGCCUUGAUGUUUACGCUUGUAAGUUUGACAGAGUUUAAAUUGUGACCUUAAAAAUGACAACUUUUAACAACGGAUCUCUUGGCUCUUGCAUCGAUGAAGAACGCAGCAUCUGACUGACUAAGAUUCG